GACGAACGCUGGCGGCGUGCUUAACACAUGCAAGUCGAACGGAAAGGCCCUGCUUUUGUGGGGUGCUCGAGUGGCGAACGGGUGAGUAACACGUCAGUAACCUGCCCUUGACUUCGGGAUAACUUCAGGAAACUGGGGCUAAUACCGGAUAGGAGCUCCUGCUGCAUGGUGGGGGUUGGAAAGUUUCGGCGGUUGGGGAUGGACUCGCGGCUUAUCAGCUUGUUGGUGGGGUAGUGGCUUACCAAGGCUUUGCCGGGUAGCCGGCCUGGGAGGGUGACCGGACACAUUGGGACUGAGAUACGGCCCAGACUCCUACGGGAGGCAGCGGUGGGGAAUAGUGCACAAGGGGCGGAAGCCUGAUGCAGCAACGCCGCGUGCGGGAAGACGUCCUUCGGGUUGUAAACCGCUUUCGCCUGUGACGAAGCGUGAGUGACGGUAAUGGGUAAAGAAGCACCGGCUAACUACGUG
rnacentral:rRNA from 1 species